CUCUACUUCACAGACACGAAAACUGGUGGCUUCGUAAAGCAGGGCAACUGUGAGAGGAUUUCACCUUCAUCUUGGAGAGCAGAGGGCCCUGCAACUGCUCUGGACACCCCACCCUCACCUGUGCUGCAGGGGCAGCUGGAGGCCAAGCUGAGCUGGGCCAGGAGAGUGAAACUGAGGAGAUAGCAGCCUUAUCUUAGAGAAAUGAAACACCUCGUAGAAUGAACAACCAUGGACUCAGAUGAUGGAUUCACUGCAAGCAGCACGAUGUGACACCCCUGCUGAGAGCCAUGAAAAGGCUGCAUCUGAGCUACUCUCCUCACCUGUGAUGGCCCUUGGACCUGCAAAGAUCACUGGACCUGAAUCACUGCUUGCCGAUGAGACCCAGGAGCAAACAGGGCUCAAAGACAAUCGCAGCUCAGCCUGAUGCAGCUGCUAUUUCCAGAGAAGUGGGGACAUGCAGAGGACUGUAAUAUUGAUUGUGCUCAAAGCAGGCUGUGAAGAGUUAACCCCACAACUGACUUAUUUUGAGAAGUGAGUCCAGCCAAAGCCUACAUGCCA
rnacentral:lncRNA from 1 species